CGGAGGAUCCAAGCGUUAUCCGGAAUCAUUGGGUUUAAAGGGUCCGUAGGCGGUCUUGUAAGUCAGUGGUGAAAGCCCAUCGCUCAACGGUGGAACGGCCAUUGAUACUGCAGGACUUGAAUUACUGGGAAGCAACUAGAAUAUGUAGUGUAGCGGUGAAAUGCUUAGAGAUUACAUGGAAUACCAAUUGCGAAGGCAGGUUGCUACCGGUGGAUUGACGCUGAUGGACGAAAGCGUGGGUAGCGAACAGGAUUAGAUACCCUGGUAGUCCACGCCGUAAACGAUGGAUACUAGCUGUUGGGCGCAAGUUCAGUGGCUAAGCGAAAGUGAUAAGUAUCCCACCUGGGGAGUACGGACGCAAGUUUG
rnacentral:rRNA from 1 species